rnacentral:misc_RNA from 1 species
UCUCCGUAGGUGAACCUGCGGAGGGAUCAUUACAGAGUUCAUGCCCUACCGGGUAGAUCUCCCACCCUAUGUUAUUAUUACUUUGUUGCUUUGGCGGGCCGUUAGGCUCCGGCCCGACUACCGGCCCCGGCUGGUAAGCGCCCGCCAGAGGACCCCAAACCCUGAACGUUAGUGUCGUCUGAGUACUAUACAAUAGUUAAAACUUUCAACAACGGAUCUCUUGGUUCUG